CUUUAAAUAAAUUAAAGGUACUGCCUGCUCCAUGCUUUUAGAGUAAAUAGCCGCAGUAUUUUGACUGUGCUAAGGUAGCAUAAUCAUUCGUCUCUUAAUUAGAGGCUUGUAUGAAUGGCAAGACGAGAGAAUUUCUGUCUCUUAGAAGAAAAUUGAAUUUCAUUUUUAAGUGAAAAAGCUUAAAUUGUUUCAUAGGACGAUCAGACCCUUUGGAGUUUUAUUAAAUAAUUUUUUUAAGUGAAUUUUUAAUUUCAAAAUAAAUUAUUUUUUUAAGUUGGGGCGACUGGGAGAUAUAAGUAUCCCUCUUUUUAUAAAACAAAGAUUUUUGGAAAAUUGAUCCCAAAAGAUGGAUUAAAAGUCUAAGUUACCCUAGGGAUAACAGCGUAAUCCUCUUGGAGAGUUCAUAUCGAUAAGAGGGGUUGCGACCUCGAUGUUGGAUUGAGAGAUUAUUAGGGUGCAGCAGCUCUAAAGGAAAGUCUGUUCGACUUU
rnacentral:rRNA from 1 species